rnacentral:rRNA from 1 species
GGUGAACGCUGGCGGCGUGCUUAACACAUGCAAGUCGAACGAGAACGGAUUAUAGCUUGCUAUAAUUGUCAGCUAAGUGGCGCACGGGUGAGUAAUGUAUAGGUAAUAUGCCUCUUACUAAGGGAUAACAAAUGGAAACGUUUGCUAAUACCUUAUACUCCUUAUUAACCUAAGUUAAUAAGGGAAAGAUUUAUUGGUAAGAGAUUAGCCUGUAUAGUAUCAGUUAGUUGGUGGGGUAAUGGCCUACCAAGACUAUGACACAUAACUGGUUUGAGAAGAUGAUCAGUCACACUGGAACUGAGACACGGUCCAGACUCCUACGGGAGGCAGCAGUGGGGAAUAUUGCACAAUGGACGAGAGUCUGAUGCAGCAACGCCGCGUGGAGGAUGACACAUUUCGGUGCGUAAACUCCUUUUAUAUGAGAAGAUAAUGACGGUAUUAUAUGAAUAAGCACCGGCUAACUCCGUGCCAGCCGCCGCGGUAAAAC